GGAGAGAUGGCUCAGUAGGUUAAGAGCACUGGCUCCUCUUCCAGAGGACCUGGGUUCAAUUCCCUGCACCA
rnacentral:tRNA from 1 species